UGAACGGCAUUGUCGUCCUCGUAGGUGUCCUUUAAGGUGACGAUGUUGGGAUGCUGCGGCAAGUGGCGCAUGAUCUCAACCUCUCUCCUGACAUCCUCGAUGUCGAUGGCGGUCCUCAGCUUCUUCUUGGAAAUGGACUUGCAGGCAAGUUCCUCGCCGCUCUCCUUGUCCGUGCAGAGGUACGUGACGCCGAACUCGCCCCGGCCCAGCUCGCGGCCCAGCUCGUAACGGGCCUCGAUCUCACGGCCUGUGGGAGACUUCAAAACGGUGAGCUUGGAGCCGUUGGCGUUGGCAGUGUUGUUAAACCCGUAAUCGAUAGCGAAGGGGUUCUCCUUUUUCCCCUUUUUUCCCUUCUUGUUCUCCGUUUCCUGCGUGGACGGCUUCGCGCAGCAGAUACCCAUCUUCGGGGGCCACGAGGUUCCUCAGAUCUGAAGACCAAACCUUCUUCCCAAACAAGAAAUCAAAUGGAGG
rnacentral:lncRNA from 1 species